rnacentral:lncRNA from 1 species
GUGCUACAGGUAAGUCUCGUUAUUUCGACUCAGACCUUACCGCAUAAAAAGGAAACUGCUUGACUUUGGCAACAUCGCAAUGAACUAAGACUGGAUGACAACGUUACCUAGACAACAAUGGGAUGUUCCACCAGCCGAACAGUGAAAACAUUCUACCAUGAGGCUUUAGCAGAACAACUCACAACGACCACAGAAUGUGAGAGAGGAGAGCCUGAAGGCUCACCUAAUGUGGACAGAUCCAACAAAGAGAACCCAGCAACUGCUACCACAAAUCAGAUACCGUACGUUCCCUUGGACGACGUGAACUUCUGCCCCGACACAGACUUCAGCGUCUCGGAGGUGUGCGCGUCGGAAGACACAGAAGCAUUAGCGUCGGCACAACGCGACCUGCUCAUGCAGAGACAGGACAUUCUAUAAACUAGGCUUUCUUUGACAUAUGGCUGUCCGCUCUCAUUGUUCAUCGGCUCUGGUGAUGAUACACACUGUACCUGUAAUGUGACUGCUUCUGCUGAACUGUUCCUACAAAAGUCAUGGCACAUCCUGUUCCUGCUAAACACGUGGUACAUAUUGUUCCCAGUAAGACUCGCUACCUCCUGUCAGCGUUUCUUACCUGACAAACUGUAGAUGCAUACUGUUCUUGAUAUACACGUGGCACAUACUGCUCUUGAUAUACAUGUGACACAUACGGUUCUUGAUAUACACGUGGCACAUUCUUAUUUUUUUUAUUCCAUUUCAAGUUGCAUGUACAGACAGAAGAGUGGCAUGUGUUGACAGUUACAUCAACAAUUUGAUAUACAAAAUUUUAUACACAUAUAAGGGUGUACAAAUAUAGAUAGACAGGAGCUAGAUGAAAGUGUUAUAUCUGCAAUGGACACGUUAACUAGAGUAAGUCAAAUUGUAUGUGUGCUAAAUAAAAAUGUCAGAGUAGGGUAUCUAAGUCCUAGUUUCCUAGUAAAAUAACAAAAUUUAUUAUUUUUCGUUGCAAUAAACCUUUCAAUUUAGCAUAUGUCCUUAAGCAACAUAGGAAAUCCUGCAAAAGAUAUAUCUUGCGGUUUAAGGCUUGAAGUAUAGGUGAAUCUUUGGCAAGUAGUAAAAUGUGAUUUACUGCUUGGUUGUUUGAGGACAGUCCAAACAUAAUAAUGAAUUUAGAUAGUGACAAAUUGUUUUGGAGGUUAUUAUCAAGGAAUUUUUCAUCUUUAAGCCAAAAGUUCCGAACAAAUUGACAUUCAAAGAAAAC